rnacentral:rRNA from 1 species
GAUGAACGCUGGCGGCGUGCUUAACACAUGCAAGUCGAGCGAGAAGUUUUGAAAAGCUUCUUCGGAUGAAAUUUGAAAUGGAAAGCGGCGGACGGGUGAGUAACGCGUAGGCAACCUGCCCCAUACACAGGGAUAGCAUUUGGAAACGAAUAUUAAUACCUUAUGAAACUUAACUAGUGCAUGCUAGGUAGGUCACAGAUUUAUCGGUAUGGGAUGGGCCGGCGUCUGAUUAGCUAGUUGGUGGGGUAACGGCUCACGAAGGCGACGAUCAGUAGCCGGUCGGAGAGGAUGAUCGGCCACACUGGAACUGAGACACGGUCCAGACUCCUACGGGAGGCAGCAGUGGGGAAUAUUGGACAAUGGGCGCAAGCCUGAUCCAGCCAUACCGCGUGGGUGAAGAAGGCCUUCGGGUUGUAAAGCCCUUUUGUUGGGAAAGAAAAGCAGCAGGUUAAUACCCCGCUGUUCUGACGGUACCCAAAGAAUAAGCACCGGCUAACUUCGUG